rnacentral:misc_RNA from 1 species
CCAAACUUGGUCAUUUAGAGGAAGUAAAAGUCGUAACAAGGUCUCCGUUGGUGAACCAGCGGAGGGAUCAUUACUGAGUUAUCAAAACUCCAAACCCUUUGUGAACCUUACCGUCGUUGCCUCGGCGUGAGCUACGGCUACCCUGUAACUACCCUGGAGCUACCCUAGAGUUACCCUAUAGCUACCCUGCACUUACCCUGCAGCUACCCUAUAGCUACCCUAUAGCUACCCUAUAGCUACCCUAGAGCUACCCUGGAGCUACCCUGUAGUCGGCUUCGGCCCGCCGAAGGACCGUUAAACUCUUGUUUUUUUACCACUGUUUCUCUGAAUUUUAAACUAAAAUUAGUUAAAACUUUCAACAACGGAUCUCUUGGUUCUGGCAUCGAUGAAGAACGCAGC